GCCCAGAUGGUGGAAUUGGUAGACACGUUGGACUUAAAAUCCAAUGGACAGUAAUGUCCGUGCGGGUUCAAGUCCCGCUCUGGGUACAA
rnacentral:tRNA from 1 species